rnacentral:rRNA from 1 species
UACGUAGGGUGCGAGCGUUAAUCGGAAUUACUGGGCGUAAAGUGUGCGCAGGCGGCCGCGCAAGUCGAGUGUGAAAGCCCCGAGCUUAACUUGGGAACUGCGCUCGAAACUACGUGGCUGGAGUGUGGCAGAGGAAGGUGGAAUUCCAGGUGUAGCGGUGAAAUGCGUAGAGAUCUGGAGGAACACCGAUGGCGAAGGCAGCCUUCUGGGCUAACACUGACGCUCAUGCACGAAAGCGUGGGGAGCAAACAGG